rnacentral:lncRNA from 10 species
CUGAAGAGCUGGUCUCACUCCCACUGUGCCACCUCCAACAGCACAGAGUCUGUUUCCAGGCAGCAGGCAAGCAGGGCUUGAGAACUUUCCCCAGGCUACCCGCCUCCCAGCUGUGAAAGAAAAGGACUUUAGUUCUUCCCCCACCUGUGGAAUCUGCUGGCUGGAUUCAUGCCCUCCAGCAAGUUCUGGCCAGGAGGCUUCUCACCUGGUUCAAAUUGUUACAAAGUUCAGCUGGAGACUUCCUUCUCCCUGUGGCAUUUUCCCCAUACCUCUGGACACCCUCCUGAAGGAUCCCUGUGGUGCCAGGCAUGAAUGGCCUGCUUGGGGACCCAAUGAGUUCCCAGGACCCUUCCUGCUGCUUCUUCUACCCUUGUAUUUUGCUUGGCUGUCUAAAUUGACUCAGCUCCAGGAUCCCUUCGUUUGAGGUAGGAUAUGGAAUCGCAUCCACUCUGAUUUGUUGCCAGCAGUGUUCUCCAACUUAAUUAUCCUCUGUGAUCCACACUAAAGUAUUUUGAAGAAUAACAAAGCUCUCCAAGGGUCUUAAUACAGCCUUGAAGCCCAGUAGCAAAAAGCAUAGGCGUUGACUGUGAUUAAAAUUUCAUGGCACCAUUUAACCGGAUAAGAGAAGGACCUAAGGUGGGAGAGCUACACUCAUGAGGUACUAGGUCACUGAUUCUCAACAGCAUCUCUGUACCAGUCACACUGGCCUUAUAGAACAAAUGAGUGACCUGAGAUAUUACAGCUUGUAAGAGGUGAAGGAGGGGAACUACUUGAGCAAAAGGCCCAGUGGAUUUGAGCCAAGUUCCAGAAGAGCAAUGAGAAUAUCAUAACCUCUCAGGAGGCUAUACAGGAAGCAUGAUGCUGGUGUCUGCUCAGCUUCUGGGGAGAACUCAGGAAACUUACAAUCAUGGCAGAAGGCAAAGAGGAAGCAAGUGCAUCUUACAUGGCUGGAGCAAGAUCGUGAGAGAGUGGGGAGGUGCUGCACACUUUUAAACAACCAAAUCUCGUUGUUUUGCCACAACACCAUCAAGGAGAAUGAUGUUAAACCAUGAGAAACCACCCCUAGACCCACCAGGCCCUACCUCCAACACUGGGGAUUACAGUUUGACAGGAGAUUUGGGUGGGGACACAGAUCCAAGCCAUAUCAUUACAUAUUUCUUUAUUUCUGUUUGUAUAAACUCUGGUUUUCUAUUUUAUUAAAUAAAUUAAAAUCCAUUACUAUUAUUGUCUAUUCUGAUACUCAAAUUGGCAAAGAUUUGACCAGGGCCAGCUCCUUUGUGCUGGCUUCUUUGUCCUCUUGACAUGUCUUUACUCUUUGAUACUUAUUUUAUGGCAUAACGGAAGAUUCAGACUCAACUCUUAGUUUUUUUGCCCCAUGCCUGGAAUCAAAUAUUUCUACUAGGAACCUUGGUUCUUUUAAAAGGAAAAUGUUUUUUAGUAUGCAAAAUCUGGUUACACUCAUGACUAUGUAUGCAACACUGCUUCCAGGCUCUCUCAAUGGAUAGGACUAGGGAAUAUAUGCAAGUUCACAAACACACACACACACACACUCACUUGCAUCUAUAUUUAUAACUCUCUCCAUAUAUACUGGAAACCAUAAGUUCACACUGAAAUUUCCAAUUCCAAUCUAACACCACAGAGUUCAUUCUAGUUUUCUCUAUUUCUAGAUUUGUAACUCCCUUCUCUGACAGUGAAAAACAGGCUCCCAUUAUUCUAAAUAUUUUUACUUAUUUGAUGAAUUUUCCUGUAUGUAACUGAUCUCAUUCCUGCCACUGCCCUCUUCCCCCAAGAAUAUCCUUCUGCUAAGGUAUAGCAAAGAUUAUGUGCUGGAAACUUAAUGCCCAAUGCAAUAGUGUUGAGAGGUGGGAUGUUUAUGAGGUGAUUAAGUCAUGAGGGCUCUUCCCUCAUGAAUGAAUUAAUGCUGAUAUAAUGAGAAUGGGUUCUUGAGAAGAAGGAUGAGUCUGGUCUCCUUCCUCUCGUUCUUUCCCUCUGUUGCCUUUCUAUCUUCUGCUAUGGGAUGACACAGCAUGAAGGCCCUCCCUAUAUGCCAGUGCCAUGCUCUUGGACUUUCCAGUCUUCAGAAUUUUAAGCCAAAUAAACUUAUACUGUUUAUAAAUUACUCAGUGUGUGGCAUUCUGUUAUAUCACCACAAAAUGAAUGAAGAUACCUCCUUAACACCACUCACAG